rnacentral:rRNA from 1 species
UACGUAGGGACGAGCGUUGUCCGGAAUUACUGGGCGUAAAGGGCGCGCAGGCUGCGUUACAAGUCAGCUGUUAAAUGCAUGGGCUUACCCCAUGAGUGCGGUUGAAACUGUAGUGCUAGAGUACUGUAGAGGCAAGCGGAAUUCCCAGUGUAGCGGUGAAAUGCGUAGAUAUUGGGAGGAACACCGGUGGCGUAGGCGGCUUGCUGGACAGUAACUGACGCUGAGGCGCGAAAGCCAGGGGAGCAAACGGGAUUAGAUACCCGGGUA